UUACUCCUUAAAUAAUUAUCUGGCGUACACCCAGCCACCAGCCAGCCAGAUGCAUGUUAGUGUUCUUAGGUUUCCUUAGGUUUCUUAGGUUUUUAACCGGGUUCAUGUGGGAUACAUAUUGGAGAUACGGAGGGAUACUGCAACAAUCGAACGGACGUCAAAAAAUUGACUGUCGCGUCCGGCGUCCUUAAAGGCAGAAACCGGGAUAACCAGAAAUCGGAGCAAGACAUGAACCGCUGCAACAGUGACGCUUGAAAAGACAGCGGCGCCCAGCGCGCCGGCACUCCGCGCCGCUGGCGACCGUGUCGGGUGUAAACGUAUGAACCAGUCCGUUGCUGUCGACGUAGACGCUCGUACCAGGCGCUCCGAAUCCACUUCCUCCUUGUGCAAUGUUGAUCACGCUCCCGUCAGCGGAAAUGAACGUUCCGGCUUGGCCCCCGGCAGCAGCAGCGCCGCCUGUCCGUCCAGCGGCCACGUGCGUCCAGGAAUGAGCAUACACAAGAGCGCAUGUGUACGCCAGAGCAAGAAUGUGCUUACGCGCAGUGUACAUGGUGGUUUGCGGGCAUUUUCUGGUUUGUGACGCGUGGGGAACGGUUGCCGGUGGAGUGGGACUGGGAAUCCUCACUGCAUUAUCCGGAAGCGGCAGUGGAAGCGGAGGCGGCGGAGGAGGAUCCAAUACCAACGUCGCACAUGGCGGCAUCGGCUUGGGAGGUCAAGGAGGCAGCGUCUACAUCGACAUGAGCGGUCGUUCUCCAGGUGCCAGGAGCGGCUUCGAGCGGCGCAGUCACGGCCGGAGGAAGCGUACCGUUUUUAGCGUAUGCCGGACCUUGCACAGACCCUGUGCUAUUAACUAUCAGUGCUGUAGUCGUCUCUGUACGCGCGGGUUUUGCCGAAUCUCUUAGCGGCGGUGUGGGAUGAGAGGUUGAUUUUAAAUUUAUUCAUUUAGCGCCGUUUGUUACCCAGCGCGUUACUUGAAGGAGAAAUUCUUGUGCGCCUUUGAUAUGCAGCUUUGUGUAAAAAAUGUUUUGAGAGAUGGUAAUAAACCGAGACCGAAA